ACGUUAAAGUUGCUGCAGUUAAAAAGCUCGUAGUUGAACGUUCGGGUUCCGCGGGACGGGGCCGCCCCGCGAGGGACGGCGCCGCCCCGGGGCUCGUGAUAUCUUAUCUCGCCGCCCGUCGCGAGGCGGACGGAGGGAUGGAUGAGGUUACCUGGAAAAAAUCGGGGCGAUCUAGGCGGGCGAACCUCGCCAACGAACGAUCGGACAUGGGAUAACGGAAGAGGGCGUCGGCUCGACUUCGUCGGUUCCUCGGGGCCGAGGCACGUACGGUGAAUAGGGACGGUCGGGGCCGCCCGUACCGGGUCGUGAGAGGUGAAAUUCUAGGAUCGACCCGAGACGAACUGCCGCGAAAGCAUUCGGCAAGGACGCUUUCAUUAAUCAAGAACGAAAGUCGGGGGAUCGAAGACGAUCAGAUACCGUCGUAGUCCCGACCGUAAACGAUGCCGACCGAGGGCCCGGAGGAGUUACGUACGA
rnacentral:rRNA from 1 species